ensembl:lncRNA
GGCCAUUAUAGGGUCAUUAUGGGGCCACUAUGGGGCCACUAUGGGGCCAUAGGGAUGUGGGGCCUUUAUAGGGCCAUAAUAGGGCCAUUAUAGGGCCGUGGGGGUGUGGAGCCACAAUAGGGUCACUAUAGGGCCACUAUGGGGUCGUGGGGAUCUGGGGCCACAAUGGGGCCACAGUGGGGUCAUUAUAGGGCCACUAUGGGGUUGUGGGGAUACAGAGCCACAAUAGGGCCAUUAUGGGGCCAUUAUAGGGCCAUUAUGGGGUCGUGGGGAUGUGGGGCCAUUAUAGGGCCAUUAUAGGGCCAUUAUAGGGUCGUGGGGAUGUGUGGCCACAAUAGGGCCAUUAUAGGGCCACUGUGGUGACUCAGAUCUAUGGGGCCGCCCCACAGGCACGGCUCUGGGCCUGGUGAUCAACACGGGGGACCGGACCACUAUAGGGCCAUUAUAGGGUCAUUAUAGGGUCGUGGGGAUGUCUGGCCACAAUAGGGCCAUUAUGGGGCCAUUAUAGGGCCAUUAUGGGGUCGUGGAGAUGUGGGGCCAUUAUAGGGCCACCGUGGUGACUCAGAUCUAUGGGGCCACCCCACAGGCACGGCUCUGGGCCUGGUGAUCAACACGGGGGACCGGACCAUCAUCGGCCGCAUCGCCUCGUUGGCUUCCGGGGUGGAGAACGAAAAAACCCCGAUCGCCAUCGAGAUCGAGCACUUCGUGGACAUCAUCGCCGGGCUGGCCAUCUUCUUCGGGGCCACCUUCUUCGUGGUGGCCAUGGUCAUCGGCUACCCCUUCCUCCGGGCCAUGGUCUUCUUCAUGGCCAUCGUGGUGGCCUACGUCCCCGAGGGGCUGCUGGCCACCGUCACCGUGAGUUUGGGGUCACUGCGCGUCCCUAUGGGGUCACUGGGGGUCCCUAUGGGGUCCUGGAGGUCCCUAUGGGGUCAUAGAGGUCCCUAUGGAGUCACUGGGGGUCCCAUGAGAUCCUGGAGGUCCCUAUGGGGUCACAGAGGUCCCUAUGGGGUGCAGGAGGUCCCUAUGGGGUGCAGGAGGUCCCCAUGGGGUCAUCGGGUCCCCCUUCCUCCGGGCCAUGGUCUUCUUCAUGGCCAUCGUGGUGGCCUACGUCCCCGAGGGGCUGCUGGCCACCGUCACUGUGAGUUUGGGGUCGCUGCGGGUCCCUAUGGGGUCACAGAGGUUCCUAUGGGGUGCAGGAGGUCCCUAUGGGGUCACUGGGGGUCCCUAUGGGGUUAUAGAGGUCCCUAUGGGUCACAGAGGUCCUUAUGGAGUCACAAAGAUUCCCAUGAGAUCCUGGAAGUCCCUAUGGGGUCACAGAGGUCCCUAUGGGGUGCAGGAGAUCCCUAUGGGGUCACAGAGGUCCUUAUGGGGUCACAGAGGUCCCUAUGGGGUGCAGGAUGUCCCUAUGGGGUCACUGAGGGGUCCUAUGGGGUCAGAGAGGUCCCUAUGGGGUCCUGGAGGUCCCUAUGGGGUCAUAGAGGUCCCUAUGGAGUCACUGGGGGUCCCAUGAGAUCCUGGAGGUCCCUAUGGGGUCACAGAGGUCCCUAUGGGGUGCAGGAGGUCCCUAUGGGGUGCAGGAGGUCCCCAUGGGGUCAUCGGGUCCCCCUUCCUCCGGGCCAUGGUCUUCUUCAUGGCCAUCGUGGUGGCCUACGUCCCCGAGGGGCUGCUGGCCACCGUCACCGUUUGCCUCUCCCUGACGGCGAAGCGUCUGGCGAGGAAGAACUGCGUGGUGAAGAACCUGGAGGCCGUGGAGACCUUGGGCUCCACGUCGGUCAUCUGCUCCGACAAAACCGGGACCCUCACCCAAAACAGGAUGACUGUGGCACAUCUGUGGUUCGACAACCAGAUCCACGCCGCCGACACCACCGAGGACCAAUCCGGUACUUGGGGGG